CAGCCUCGACUACCUUCUCAUUUGUGUGAUCUAAAAGCGCAACCAGUUUCUCAACUGCCUGUCCUUCCAAAAGACAAAAUGAGUCUCUUAAUGAACACGUACCGCGAUGGAGCCGGCACAAUCCAGUUAUUACAGGCUGUCUGCUAAAACAAGGAAAAAUUGAGCCACAAAAUCCAGGUGGGGGCAACUCAGGCAAUUUUGUUAAAUUUUUGGAUUCUUGAGACAAGUUCUCUAAUGCCAUGGCAGAAACCAUCUGCACAUUGUCAAGUCCAUUAGACUGAAGCAGUUCAAUGAACAAAGCUACAAGAUUGUUCUCGCGGCAGAAUGCAAUAGCAUCAGGCUCUUCAGCCAAAACAAAUGUAACCCUUGCAAGAACCUGUACAAGCCCUUCCAAAUAUGGUGUGACAAAACGGAUACCCCUAGUCUCCCCUUGACGGAUCCUUACUACUCUAACAAAGAUUUGCUGAAAGGCCCCUUCAUCUAGCAUCUGCCGUGUAAGACCCAAAUCUCUCUCUGGGAGUUCAGCUAAAAGGCCAACAGCAGCUGCCUGCUCUUCUGUAAUUCCUAUGUUCUCCGUUAUGACUCUAAUUAGGCUGCCAAGCUGGCCAACUGUACCACGAAGGGCAUUAGCUAGUUCCUGACCCAUGUGUCGAGAGAGGUUCUGGAGAAGUUUUAUGGAAGCUACACGCAGAUCCUUCUGGGGGACCUCAAUAAACUGAACCAAACUGGUAGUAGCACCAGAGCUUUUAAUGGCAGUAACAACAUUCAGAACAGUAGCAGGAGAACUGGUCAGCCCAACAAGAACCUGCAGAAGUUUGCAUUCGAUAGAUGGCCCAGUGUUGCUAAUUAGAUGGAGUAGCCUAUGUACUAUAUCUUCUGAUACCAGAGUCUGAUGGUCAGUUCCAACAGGAAUUGAGUCAAAUUCAUAGUCUGAGCUCACAAUGUUAGCAAGGAUUGUUGCUGCAACCUCUUUCAGUCGCAUAGGAAGCUGACUUGAGCCAACUGUAAAGAGGUCAUUGACAAGAGGAGGAAGAAUUCCUGCUUCAAUCAACACCUUAGCACUUGGCCCACAAGAUGAUGAAAUUUGGUUCAAAGCUUUCAAAGCAGCUUCCCUUGACUGUGUGUUACCACUUCUCAUAAUAUCGAUUAGGGAUGAACCAACGGUACUAGCCACAUGGACUUUCACAUCACUACUCAAAACCAGUUCACCAAGGUAUGAAGCCAUGGAUAGUUUGGUUUCCGGUGGGCCUUCGAGAAGCUGAUUCAGAAGAGGCUGCAAUCUACCACUUUCAGCCAUCUGACGCACAUUGUUAUCACAUUUUUCCAGAUUUUCAAGCGUUUUCUCAGCCAUUUCAACAGUUAAAAUAUUUUCCGAUUUGCUGCUUGUCAUUCCAACCAAUAUAAGAAUUGCUCCAUUGAUUGAACCAAUCUUUUCACACAAAGCUUCAGACUUAGAGAGCUCAUGCAGCAAUGAGACAGCUUCCUCCCUUUCUUUGGAUUGCUCAUGAGACAAGAACUUAACUAUUGUGCGCACAGUGUCACCUUCAGCCACUAUUGCCUUAUUAUCAGCAUCUUCCUCUACAACAAUUUUAAGUGUUUCCAAAGCUUUACAUCUAACUCUACGGCUGCUACUCUUCAAUGUCUCAACAAUCAUAGGUAUUAGCUCAGCAUUGCGCACAACAUGCUUAUUUGAUCGAUUCUUUCGGCAGAUAUAUUCAACAUACUUCAAAGACUGCAGAACAUCACUUUCUGGACUGGUAGUAUUUAAUGACCUUCGAGCCAUAUCAAGUUGAACAGCUUCAUUUCUAGCAGUCCACUCUUCAAUGGUGUUCCGCAAUGCUAUGCUUGGGUUCAGGUCUGCGCUUUUUAGUUCUUUUUGUGUCAAGGGGCAAACCAAUUUCCUUCCACUCUCCCUGCAUUCCCUGAACCACCUUUCUAUCGCUUCACGGUCAAAAGUUUGCCCAUUUUCUAAGGUCACAGGAUCACGCAUGACUUGCUUUGUUAAAGGGCAAACAAAUGCAUCAUAAAUAGGUUCUAUAUGAAAUCUCUCAAAAUGGUAACUGUCCUCUGACUGGCUACCAGGGUCAUAACUUGCAUCCCAGCUUUCAGCCAUCUGAUUCAAAAACCCAC
rnacentral:misc_RNA from 1 species